GUCACUUUGCCGGAGUGGUUAACGGGAUCGCCUGCUACUCUUACGUCAGCAUUCAGCGGUUGGGCUUUGCCCGCGUGUGUUCGAAUCGCACAGGUGACG
rnacentral:tRNA from 1 species